UACGAAGGGGGCUAGCGUUGUUCGGAAUUACUGGGCGUAAAGCGCGCGCAGGCGGUUCGAUAAGUUGGGGGUGAAAUCCCCGGGCUCAGCCCGAGAAUUGCCUUCAAGACUGUCGAGCUAGAGGACGAGAGAGGUGAGUGGAAUUCCCAGUGUAGAGGUGAAAUUCGUAGAUAUUGGGAAGAACACCGGUGGCGAAGGCGGCUCACUGGCUCGUUUCUGACGCUGAGGCGCGAAAGCGUGGGGAGCAAACAGG
rnacentral:rRNA from 1 species